CCUACGAGUGGCAGCAGUGGGGAAUAUUGCACAAUGGGGGAAACCCUGAUGCAGCGACGCCGCGUGAGUGAAGAAGUAUUUCGGUAUGUAAAGCUCUAUCAGCAGGGAAGAAAAUGACGGUACCUGACUAAGAAUCCCCGGCUAACUACGUGCCAGCAGCCGCGGUAAUACGUAGGGGGCAAGCGUUAUCCGGAUUUACUGGGUGUAAAGGGAGCGUAGACGGGGGGACAAGGCAGAAGUGAAAGGCCGGGGCUUAACCCCGGGACUGCUUUGGAAACUGUGGGGCUGGAGUGCAGGAGAGGUAAGUGGAAUUCCUGGUGUAGCGGUGAAAUGCGUAGAUAUUAGGAGGAACACCAGUGGCGAAGGCGGCUUACUGGACUGUAACUGACGUUGAGGCUCGAAAGCGUGGGGAGCAAACAGGAUUAGAUACCCGUGUAGUC
rnacentral:rRNA from 1 species